GAACCAAAGAGACAACAGCCACUAAGGUCAAGGCUGACGACGUGAUUAGUUUGGUCGUCACACUCCACACCAUCCCAUGAGCAGCAGUCACCUCUUUCUCCAUGGAUGAGUUUCCAUGAAUCCAAUUUUGAACGGCCAAAAGAAUAAUAACAAGUAUUAGAUAUGAUGAAGCUUUGUUUGAAUUGAAGCAAGGCCAAGCUCUCAUCACCAUGGCAUCGUAGCUGCAAAGAAGAAUUAAAAGGGUGAGUGAAUCCUGAAAGAUGGAAGAAGAAGAGAAUGGAAAGCAAUAGCCCAUAAAAAGAUAACUCCAUAUAUAAUCUUUCUUUUCUUUUCUUUGGUGAUUGAAAUCCUACAAGAGGCUUUAAUUUAUAGACAGAGU
rnacentral:misc_RNA from 1 species